CCAUCGAAGAAGUAUACGACAGCUAAAAGUAAAAGAAGAAGAACAACGAGAAUGUUAUACAGAAAAUAGAAUCAACGAACAACUGUUUAGUAAACCUAAAUCAAUCGUUGUCGCAUCGUGAUAUCUACAGUAAACAUAGCAGAGACAACUUUUACUUUAAGAUGACGGAGCCCCAAUCAGUGCUGUUACUGAGGAGACAGCUGGCAGAACUGAAUAAGAACCCAGUGGAAGGUUUCUCUGCAGGCCUAAUAGAUGAGAAUGACCUCUACAGAUGGGAGGUCCUCAUCAUCGGACCACCUGAUACGCAUUACGAAGGAGGUGUGUUCAAAGCACAUCUGACAUUUCCAAAGGAUUACCCUCUCAGGCCACCAAAGAUGAGGUUUAUCACUGACAUAUGGCACCCCAAUGUUGAUAAGAAUGGUGACGUCUGUAUUUCCAUUUUACACGAGCCUGGAGAGGACAAGUAUGGCUAUGAGAAGGCAGAGGAGCGCUGGCUGCCCAUCCACACGGUGGAAACCAUCAUGAUUAGUGUUAUCUCCAUGUUGGCAGACCCAAAUGGGGACUCGCCUGCUAAUGUAGACGCUGCUAAAGAAUGGAGGGAGGACAGACAUGGAGAAUUUAAGAGGAAAGUUGCACGUUGUGUGCGAAAGAGCCAAGAGACUGCGUUUGAGUGAUACGCAAUGUUCUAGCAUCAGAUUUUCAGGAAGUUGAAAUAUCAACCAUGACAUUAAAUUCACAAUGUGUGUCCAAAUGAAAUUCAGCAUGGCACUGUCUCCCGCACUUCCCACCCUGUCACAAGGCUUGUUCUCCUCCACCUUGUCAGGAACGGGCUGGCUAACUACACAACAUCCCCGUGACCACAGCGGCUGACCGACCACCGUCAAGCAAGUGCCAACUCGGAAAAAAACAACAAUAAGACAACUGAACAAUUUUUUUUCUCGAAGUCUAUGGACUGCUUCAACAUUCAGGAAAAUAUUGUAAAGACCUGUAUAUAGCACCGACGAAAACCCGGAUAAUAUAUUAACUCUCUCUCCAUCCAGCAAGACACUUAGACCAAAUGAAUAGCGCUUGUUUAGCUAGAACCUCUCUUGUUUACUUUUUACGUCUCACCCCCCCCCCCCCCCCCUCCCUCCUUUUAGUGUGCAUCAUUUACUGGUUAAGAUUGUUUUAAUGAGAGGGAACAGAAGCACUGUGAAUCUCACGGUAUUGGUCUGGUUCAUGAAAGACAUGCAUGUCUUACUCUUUCAUCCCUCAUCUGAGUAUGUUGUUUGUUUACUAUCCCCCUACCAGCCACCCAUCCACCUCCACAGCUGAGGGUCAGUUGCCGUCAGAAAGGGAACGCGCUCAUGCAUGCUCCGAGUCUUCUCUUGUGUCUUUUUCAAAAGUGCCUCCUGAUUUAGCAAAUAAAUGCUUGGCCACUCCACCCUGCAUUGAACAAGAGUUGAGUUUAUCAAACGAUGGAGGAAAUGUAUUUGCGCAGAUUUAUUUAAUGAUUGAGGCCACCCAGAAGCUGUAUUAUUAGAGUUUGGGUAACUGUAUGGUGUAGCAAUAACUCCUCCUUGUGUGCAUUGAAUGCAACAAAAAUGUUGUGUCCUGAAAACAUUGCGGGUGGAUUUGUCUGUCAUUUAUUUUAGCAGCCUGUUUUUUUUUUUCUUCUAUGUGUCAUCCCUUGUUAGAUAAUGGUAAUGCAUGCUUUAUCUUUAGUUUACUUUUAUUUUUAGCUGAGAGUUAUGGGGAUUUGAUUUGAGAAUGUUUUGCGUUGUGUUUGUGCACUGUAUCUGUGCCCUUCCUUUUUUUCCCAUCUUCAUAACCUGAAUGUUCAUUCUGUUUCUGGUGUACUGUUUCAGUUUUGCCUAAUGUACAAAGACAAAGUACUUAUGUAUAUUUUUCAUGUUAUGAAAAUUGUCACCUGUAGUGCGCUCUUAUAAAAUGACAUUUUUUUCCAAUA